rnacentral:rRNA from 1 species
GAUGAACGCUAGCUACAGGCUUAACACAUGCAAGUCGCGGGGUCUGUUUCGGCAGACGACCGGCGCACGGGUGAGUAACACGUAUGCAACCUGCCCGCCACAGGGGGAUAAACGCUGGAAACGGCGCCUAAUACCCCCAUACUAUCGCUAUGCUGCAUGGCAUGGCGAUGAAAACUCCGGUGGUGGCGGAUGGGCAUGCGGCGCAUUAGCUAGUUGGAGGGGUAACGGCCCACCAAGGCGACGAUGCGUAGGGGUUCUGAGAGGAAGGUCCCCCACACUGGUACUGAGACACGGACCAGACUCCUACGGGAGGCAGCAGUGAGGAAUAUUGGUCAAUGGGCGGGAGCCUGAACCAGCCAAGUCGCGUGAGGGAAGACGGCCCUACGGGUUGUAAACCUCUUUAGUCGGGGAGCAAAAAGGACCACGCGUGGUCCAUUGAGCGUACCCGAAGAAUAAGCAUCGGCUAACUCCGUG